rnacentral:rRNA from 1 species
CGGGUGAGUAACACGUAGACAACCUGCCGACAGGAUGGGGACAACAUUCCGAAAGGAAUGCUAAUACCGAAUGAAGUCAGAGGAGGGCAUCCUCCUCUGAUGAAAGAUGGCCUCUGAAUAUGCUAUCACCUGUUGAUGGGUCUGCGUCUGAUUAGCUAGUUGGUGAGGUAACGGCUCACCAAGGCGACGAUCAGUAGCCGGUCUGAGAGGAUGAACGGCCACAUUGGGACUGAGACACGGCCCAGACUCC